CAAAGCAAAACAGGAAGUUGAAGCGGGUAUACAUUUUAUUUUCGCCGAGGAAGAAGUCUAACAAAAAACAAUCACAUAUCGCAAACCCCUCCUUUUUGCGUUUUUAUUUUUUUAUUUUUAGCGCAAAUUUCUCCAUUAUCGCACAGUUUUGACUAGAAGGACAUCAUGCCCGUCAUUUGUGCGGCAAUAGGGUGCAACAAUAAGUUUGUCAAAGGGUCGGAAAUAAGAUUUUACAGCCUAAAGAUGAGGACGUGGUUGGGCAGGAUAUUUGAGCCAUCCUGAAAUGUCAAAAGUACCCUGCCAUUAAAAAGAUUUCAUUCCUAAUGGGUGGAACAAGGUCUACGGACUCGAACCUGAGAGCUGUGGGCAGAUGGAUGAAGCAUCGGACCAGAACAGCAUGUCAAAAGUGGACAACGUGAACAGCACUGCAGCAGCACGUCAUCCACAGCAGGAACAGUGAUGAGCACUGUGUACCCUUGGGAGGCAUUUUGAAUCUCGAGCUGCAUUGUGAGCUUAUUACUGGCGAGUCCUGUCACAAAUGGCAGCAGCGGGAGCCCUGAACUCAUUCUGGUCGCCAUCUCACAACCCUUUCAUGCCAGACUGGUGACCUGGGAAACAUCCAGCCGGGUACGAAAUCUCCUUAGACAGCAGAGGAAAAGAUGGAGCAAGUACUGUGUUUAGACAAAGGAAAAGAAAGAGGGAGAGCGAGAUCCUUCCCCUGGCCAUGUAGCUGCAACAUUAAAGUGAAUGAUGACUUUAAGCAGUAUAUUUGAUCCCAUCUGUGCUGAGCUUGGCAGCGUGAUGUGCUCGGAUGCUGCUACCCUGACUGUCAAUGAGAAGCUCCAGCUUGAGAUGCCAGGCCCUCAAAGACUUGAAGUGCACUGAGAGAGAGAGAGAGAGAGAUAAGGCCACAGAAUGGUGAAGGGACGCCUGAAGGUAUCAGGCCACAGAAAACAGUGGACGACAGAAGGGAAUUCCUUGCACUGUGUAGUCUUGGGUGUGUUGUGAGAAGGAUCCACACUGGGCUGCGCCCCUAUCACUACUAUGCACUGACAAGUUGAUCAGAUCCUGUUCCUUCAAACGGCCAAUAAUAAGACAUCUACAGCCCCGGAGUUCCUCCUCGAAGCUGCAAAGAAACACAACUUUACAUCCAGAGUCAGGGGAACAGGCAGUUAAGAAUGUGGACAUUCAAGGCUGUGGUAGGGGACACGUCAUCUCAGGGAAAGGUGUCCCCAACCAAAGGAUGUUUUAAGCUGCAUAUUUGCUGCGGGAUGGAACAACCCUUCACUCUGAACAGAAUGCAGUUCCGCCUCAAACCGACCGUGGGAAAUUGGGACGUUCUGACAACUCUCCUGAGAACAAUGAGGGAGACCAGUUUCCAGAUGUGGACAGUGAAGAAACUGGAAGAGCAACCCCCUUGCAUCAUAAUGUUAAACAAAUUACACAUCAGACCCAGACAGUUUUAGAGUUGUAAUGAUUUUAUUACAGUAAUAUACACACACACACGCCCCCAUACUUAGUCCUUGAGGGGCAAUUUGUUGUGCAGCCAGUUUGUUCUCUACGGAGCCAGAUGCUAUUGCUUAUUGCACGGGUGUAGUGUCCAGCAACCACUGGUAAACAAAGACUAUGCUCUCAAAAAUUCUUGAUUUGUUUGCCAAACUGGGUCUAAAUAAGAACCUAAUUUAUCAAGGCAGACUACCUCUCGUGUUGCAUUGCAUGUGCCUGGACACUUGCACAGUUAUAAAGCCUUCUCCAGUCAUGCAACUGCAUGAGAACUUACAUGACUGGAUAGGUCUUAAUAACUGUGCAAGUGUCCAGGCACAUGCGAUACUAAAUGAGGUAGGAGGUACCUUGCUCAUGCUGGUAGGGACUUUCCCAUCUGGGAUCAAGUGGCUGCAAAAAGAAAUGUGUAAUUAUUCUGUAGUAAUUUUGUAUUCAUAAUUUCAUUAAUAAACAGUCCAUUUUCUACAAACUUGCCUGUCUCCAUGGAUGUCCUCAUAAUUCUGUAACUAGACAGUCUGGGUGAGGAUUGCCUAACUGGGAAAACACACAAAGUGAGAU